CUGCUGCCUCCCGUAGGAGUUUGGGCCGUGUCUCAGUCCCAAUGUGGCCGUUCACCCUCUCAGGCCGGCUACUGAUCGUCGCCUUGGUGGGCCUUUACCCCGCCAACAAGCUAAUCAGACGCGGAUCCAUCGUAUACCACCAAAAGCUUUAGCUUUUUGUUUUCCACACUGCUUCAUGCGAAGCUGUGCGCUUAUGCGGUAUUAGCACCUAUUUCUAAGUGUUAUCCCCCAGUAUACGGCAGGUUCUCCACGCG
rnacentral:rRNA from 1 species